rnacentral:rRNA from 1 species
GACGAACGCUGGCGGCGUGCUUAACACAUGCAAGUCGAACGAAGUGGCGAACGGGUGAGUAAAGCGUAAUCAACCUGCCCUUCAGAGGGGGACAACAGUUGGAAACGACUGCUAAUACCGCAUACUGAAGGAGGGGAUUGAGUCUGAUUAGCUCGUUGGGGGGGGAACGGCCCACCAAGGCGAUGACACCGAGCCCGUCUGAUGGGUUGAACCGCCACCUUGGGCCUUGGACACGGCCCAGACUCCUACGGGGUGCAGAAGUGGGGAAUCUUCCGCAAUGGACGAAAGUCUGACGGAGCAACGCCGCGGGAGUGAUGACGGCCUUCGGGUUUGAAAGCUCUGUUAAUCGGGACGCGGUACCGGAAUAGAAAGCCCCGGCUAACUACGUGCCAGCCGCCGCGGUAAUUC